GUGAACGCUGGCGGUAGGCCUAACUCAUGCAAGUCGAACGGCAGCACAGUAAGAGCUUGCUCUUACGGGUGGCGAGUGGCGGACGGGUGAGGAAUACAUCGGAAUCUACUUUUUCGUGGGGGAUAACGUAGGGAAACUUACGCUAAUACCGCAUACGACCUACGGGUGAAAGCAGGGGAUCUUCGGACCUUGCGCGAUUGAAUGAGCCGAUGUCGGAUUAGCUAGUUGGCGGGGUAAAGGCCCACCAAGGCGACGAUCCGUAGCUGGUCUGAGAGGAUGAUCCGCCACACUGGAACUGAGACACGGUCCAGACUCCUACGGGAGGCAGCAGUGGGGAAUAUUGGACAAUGGGCGCAAGCCUGAUCCAGCCAUACCGCGUGGGUGAAGAAGGCCUUCGGGUUGUAAAGCCCUUUUGUUGGGAAAGAAAAGCAGCAGGUUAAUACCCCGCUGUUCUGACGGUACCCAAAGAAUAAGCACCGGCUAACUUCGUG
rnacentral:rRNA from 1 species